GAUGAACGCUGGCGGCGUGCCUAAUACAUGCAAGUAGAACGCUGAAGGAAGGAGCUUGCUCUUUCCGGAUGAGUUGCGAACGGGUGAGUAACGCGUAGGUAACCUGCCUGGUAGCGGGGGAUAACUAUUGGAAACGAUAGCUAAUACCGCAUAACAGUAGAUGUUGCAUGAUAUCUACUUAAAAGGUGCAAUUGCACCACUACCAGAUGGACCUGCGUUGUAUUAGCUAGUUGGUGAGGUAACGGCUCACCAAGGCGACGAUACAUAGCCGACCUGAGAAGGUGAUCGGCCACACUGGGACUGAGACACGGCCCAGACUCCUACGGGAGGCAGCAGUAGGGAAUCUUCGGCAAUGGACGGAAGUCUGGCCGAGCAACGCCGCGUGAGUGAAGAAGGUUUUCGGAUCGUAAAGCUCUGUUGUAAGAGAAGAACGAGUGUGAGAGUGGAAAGUUCACACUGUGACGGUAUCUUACCAGAAAGGGACGGCUAACUACGUG
rnacentral:rRNA from 1 species